CCUACGGGAGGCAGCAGUGAGGAAUAUUGGUCAAUGGACGAGAGUCUGAACCAGCCAAGUAGCGUGAAGGAUGACUGCCCUAUGGGUUGUAAACUUCUUUUAUAUGGGAAUAAAAUGUUCCACGUGUGGGAUUUUGUAUGUACCAUAUGAAUAAGGAUCGGCUAACUCCGUGCCAGCAGCCGCGGUAAUACGGAGGAUCCGAGCGUUAUCCGGAUUUAUUGGGUUUAAAGGAGCGUAGGUGGAUUGUUAAGUCAGUUGUGAAAGUUUGCGGCUCAACCGUAAAAUUGCAGUUGAAACUGGCAGUCUUGAGUACAGUAGAGGUGGGCGGAAUUCGUGGUGUAGCGGUGAAAUGAUUAGAUAUCACGAAGAACUCCGAUUGCGAAGGCAGUUCACUGGACUGCAACUGACACUGAGGCUCGAAAGUGUGGGUAUCAAACAGGAUUAGAUACCCCAGUAGUC
rnacentral:rRNA from 1 species